GGAUUUAUGAUGAGCUGUGUUUAUUGAGCAUGAUGAAAUAAGGCUCAAAAUGGUUACUCUGAAGUCU
ensembl:snoRNA Snord64 small nucleolar RNA SNORD64